AUACAGAGGGUGCAAGCGUUAAUCGGAUUUACUGGGCGUAAAGCGCGCGUAGGCGGCUAAUUAAGUCAAAUGUGAAAUCCCCGAGCUUAACUUGGGAAUUGCAUUCGAUACUGGUUAGCUAGAGUGUGCGAGAGGAUGGUAGAAUUCCAGGUGUAGCGGUGAAAUGCGUAGAGAUCUGGAGGAAUACCGAUGGCGAAGGCAGCCAUCUGGCCUAACACUGACGCUGAGGUGCGAAAGCAUGGGGAGCAAACAGAAUUAGAUACCCCGGUAGUCC
rnacentral:rRNA from 1 species